UGCAUUUCUUCAUGUGUGUAUGUGCGUUGGU
rnacentral:piRNA from 1 species